rnacentral:rRNA from 1 species
CAGCCGUAAACUAUGCGCGUUAGGUGUAUCGGUGACCACGAGUCACCGAGGUGCCGAAGGGAAACCGUGAAACGUGCCGCCUGGGAAGUACGGUCGCAAGGCUGAAACUUAAAGGAAUUGGCGGGGGAGCACAACAACGGGUGGAGCCUGCGGUUUAAUUGGACUCAACGCCGGACAACUCGACCGGGACGACAGCAAUAUGUAGGCCAGGCUGAAGACCUUGCCUGAAUCGCUGAGAGGAGGUGCAUGGCGUAGACGUCU